rnacentral:lncRNA from 1 species
CCCCCCCCCCCCCCCCCCCCCCCCCCCCCCCCCCCCCCCCCCCCCCCCCCCCCCCCCCCCGCCCAGCAGUCCCCGCCCCGGGGCGGCGGACAAGGGGCCCGGCCCCGGCCCUGGCUCCUGCCCAGCGCUGCCCGAGCGGGGGUGGUUGCCCGGCGGGGAACGGGGCGGGCGGUGUCGGUCAGGCCGCCGUGUCCUGCAGCCUGGCGGUGAUGGGCGCCUGGUGGCUCCGGGAGAGCGCCAGGAUCCCCAGAGGUGCUGAUGCUGGGACUUCCCAGGGACGUGCACUUCUCCCAGGCAGUACAAACACCCGUGUGCCCCUCAGAAAAAUGCUUCAGGACACCCAGACUUUGGGAAUGUGGGACAUCAGAAAGAAGAAAGGACUUGGUAAGUAGCAAAAGACACCUUCACGUUUUAGGCUGAGACCGGCAGCACUUCAAGGAAUUUUCUAGGAAACCAAUAGGCUUUGAAAAAUGCCUUCCUCCAGAGGAACAGUGAGAAUCCUCCAGUUCAGCUGGAUAAGAAAAUCCAAGGACCUGUGCACGUAUUACAGAGAGAGGGCUUCACCUUCUGUGUGAUGCUUUCGAGUGUGGCUUUUGAGAUGGCUGUGAUGGUGCAGCCUUUUGUUUUGGUCUCCUCCUCGAUGCCUGUACACAGCAUUAGAGGCACACAAUAGAUUAUGGGAUCAUCUCCAUAAAACAGAUUCUAUGUGCUUUUCCCUCUUUUAAGCUUUGUAGUAAAUACUUGGUAAAAUACAUCCGAUUUCAAAUCUCAUUUUAGUAUCUGUGAAUCUCCUCCGGACUUAGCAUUUGGUAUUUUUAGGUUUUUUUUCCUCACACUUUUAAAAAAAUGCACUUACAUGCCUUUACAGACCUCUGUCAAAUUUCUCCUGAAACAAAUAACCUGAAUGUGAGCUAACAAGGCAAAGUUUUCUUCUUGUGGCAUUUGGCAGCUGAGAUGAUUGAUGAGUAAAGAUGCAGCAGCAGCAAACAUUGCACAACUGUAGUUGUCACACCUGGGGAAGCCCACAGGAUGUGCAGUCUUUAAAGUCUGUUCCAAGAGCACCAAAACUUCCCCAGGUGCAAGACUGUAGGGGAAAUAUUAUUAAAUAUCUUUUGGGUAGUUUUUUUUCCCCCAUAAACUGUUUCAUAGACUUAAUAGCAUAAAUUAAUGGAUGACAAGAGUAAUGGAUGCAGUUUCUGUCAGCCAAAAAGGGUUAGAGGUGUCACACCCCAGGAACACCUCAUUCAUUAGGGAAGAAAGGAGUAAGUGGGAACCAGAAAGAGCCAUAUUAAUCACAAAUGACACCUUAAAAUAGAGGCUGGUUUUUUUCCUUGCUGUUCUUUUUGGCAGGGUCGCAGCAUGCUCUCUUCUGUACCUUGCAUUCUCCUGCUGUUGUCAUUGUGCUUUCUCUGACCUCUUCUUCUGCCUCAUUGCCCUUUGUUCCUUCAGCCACCUGCCUGCAGAGCCUGCAAACCCCAGCACGGGCUCUUCCUUCCAGCAGAAGCAUCCCUGGAUGUCAGUAAUUCCAGCAGGUUUUUAACACCAGUGGACUUCACUGGAGAGAUGCACAUGGCUGGGUGAGAGCCUGAGCCCUCAACUAUCAGCUCUAGCUGAUGACUACAACCAGGGCUCCAUGACACUGGAGAGCUGAAUCCAUCCCAGAUCCUGGACUGACAAGACAAUAAUAAAAUGUUAAGGGUUUAUCAAAACUGCAGAGGCAAUUUAAAGCAAAUUCUUUGUCAGCAGAAACUGACUUUCAAUGUACUCUUUCAACAUAUGCAAAAUGAAAGUGAAAUAAAAGUUGUGUAUGUUGCUUCAUAGCACCUUGAAAAAUUUUAUUGCCAGAGUGUUUCAGGACUGGAAACAGAAAUAUUAACCCUGUUGAUCUAAUAGUUAUGAUGCUCCUGUGUUUGUAUAUUGAAUGAUAGAUGAAAAUACCCUAUGAAUGGAAAAGUAAACAUCACUGGAUUUGUUUGCAGACCAUCUUAGAAGGGAACAGCUGGAAUUAGAGCAAAAAUAACCAGAAAACCAGAUGCAAUGCUUAGGGCAUUAUCAGUAACUUUUAAAAAUUUUGAUUUGUUUCUUGAGUUUUAUGUCAAACACAGGCUUUUUUUCUGUGAACCAUUCUAGCAGAGGUCAGUCUGUGCUGAAACAGUGAUGGAGAAAGGUCUGUAUGUCAAUAUUAACUGGAUGCAGGAAGAGCUGGAGGAGUUCUGAUCUGAGAGAGCUAAAUCUUUGGGGAUUUAAGACUUGAAUGGGUCAGAGAGCAGCUCUCUACCCCCUCUUUGCCUUUUCCACAGCUCCCCUAACCUGUGAGGGGCAGGGAUACCCCACAGAGGGACAGGCCAUGAGCCCUUUGUCCCCAUUUUCAAGGAGAGGCCCGAAUCUUCCUGAGCUCAGAGUGCCCUUUUAACCCUGAUCCAACCAUUUGUUCCACCUGAGCCACUUCCCUGCUCCCUGUGGGAGGUCAGUGCACACACACAGUGACAAGUGAUGGGGUAAAAAGUGCAGGUGAGUGCUCAGCACAUCCUCUGUGCAAAUCUUAUCCUUCCCACUGGAUAUGUGGCGUCCCACUGACACCAUUCCUUGACAGCCAGGCAGGGAUUUGCAUGAAACUUGAGGGGCAUUAACUCUUGAGACCUUGUCUCCUCUGUUAAACGUGGGUGAAACUGGUCACUGGGGCCAACCACACUGCACAAGGCAAAAAUGGCAAAUGUGGAAUCCAAGAAAUUGAGAAAACUGGCCCAAGUGUUCUCAAAGACAGGUCACACCUAGUGUGAAGAGAGGAACUGAGUAAACCUCAUUCUCAAAAGAUA